UACGGGGGGGGCAAGCGUUGUUCGGAAUUACUGGGCGUAAAGGGCUCGUAGGCGGCCAACUAAGUCAGACGUGAAAUCCCUCGGCUUAACCGGGGAACUGCGUCUGAUACUGGAUGGCUUGAGUGUGGGAGAGGAAUGCGGAAUUCCAGGUGUAGCGGUGAAAUGCGUAGAUAUCUGGAGGAGCACCGGUGGCGAAGGCGGCAUUCUGGACUAUUACUGACGCUGAGGAGCGAAAGCCAGGGGAGCAAACGGG
rnacentral:rRNA from 1 species